rnacentral:rRNA from 1 species
UACGUAGGGUGCGAGCGUUGUCCGGAAUUAUUGGGCGUAAAGGGCUCGUAGGCGGUCUGUCGCGUCGGGAGUGAAAACUCGGGGCUUAACUCCGAGCCUGCUUCUGAUACGGGCAGACUAGAGGUAUGCAGGGGAGAAUGGAAUUCCUGGUGUAGCGGUGAAAUGCGCAGAUAUCAGGAGGAACACCGGUGGCGAAGGCGGAUCUCUGGGCCUUACCUGACGCUGAGGCGCGAAAGCUAGGGGAGCGAACAGG